rnacentral:rRNA from 1 species
GUGUCAGCCGCCGCGGUAAUACGGAGGGUGCAAGCGUUAAUCGGAAUUACUGGGCGUAAAGCGCAUGCAGGUGGUUUGUUAAGUCAGAUGUGAAAGCCCGGGGCUCAACCUCGGAAUAGCAUUUGAAACUGGCAGACUAGAGUACUGUAGAGGGGGGUAGAAUUUCAGGUGUAGCGGUGAAAUGCGUAGAGAUCUGAAGGAAUACCGGUGGCGAAGGCGGCCCCCUGGACAGAUACUGACACUCAGAUGCGAAAGCGUGGGGAGCAAACAGGAUUAGAAACCCCCGUAGUCC